AACCCCAAGAACACCAAACCUACCAUCAAGCAUGGAGGUGGCAGUAUCAUGCUCUGAACUUUCUAGAAGUGAUAGAUGUUGGUGUUCAUAGAGGUCUAGGUGUUCACAGAGGUCUAGGUGUUCACAGAGGUCUAGGUGUUCACAGAGGUCUAGGUGUUCACAGAGGUCUAGGUGUUCAUACAGGUCUAGGUGUUCACAGAGGUCUAGGUGUUCACAGAGGUCUAGGUGUUCACAGAGGUCUAGGUGUUCACAGAGGUCUAGGUGUUCACAGAGGUCUAGGUGUUCAUAGAGGUCUAGGUGUUCACAGAGGUCUAGGUGUUCAUAGAGGUCUAGGUGUUCACAGAGGUCUAGGUGUUCACAGAGGUCUAGGUGUUCAUAGAGGUCUAGGUGUUCAUAGAGGUCUAGGUGUUCACAGAGGUCUAGGUGUUCACAGAGGUCUAGGUGUUCAUAGAGGUCUAGGUGUUCACAGAGGUCUCGAUGUUCAUAGAGGUCUAGGUGUUCACAGAGGUCUAACUGUUCAUAGAGGUCUAGGUGUUCAUACAGGUCUAGGUGUUCACAGAGGUCUAGGUGUUCACAGAGGUCUAGAUGUUCAUAGAGGUCUAGGUGUUCACAGAGGUCUCGAUGUUCAUAGAGGUCUAGGUGUUCAUACAGGUCUAGGUGUUCACAGAGGUCUAGGUGUUCAUAGAGGUCUAACUGUUCAUAGAGGUCUAGGUGUUCACAGAGGUCUAGGUGUUCACAGAGGUCUAGAUGUUCAUAGAGGUCUAGGUGUUCACAGAGGUCUAGGUGUUCAUAGAGGUCUAGGUGUUC